AUUGAACGCUGGCGGCAUGCUUUACACAUGCAAGUCGAACGGUGAAGGGGAGCUUGCUCCCCGGAUCAGUGGCGAACGGGUGAGUAACACGUGGGCAACCUGCCCCAGACUUCGGGAUAACGCUUCGAAAGAGGUGCUAAUACCGGAUACGAACUCCUUGGGCAUCCUGGGAGUUGGAAAGUUUUUCGGUCUGGGAUGGGCCCGCGGCCUAUCAGCUAGUUGGUGAGGUAACGGCUCACCAAGGCGACGACGGGUAGCCGGCCUGAGAGGGCGACCGGCCACACUGGGACUGGGACACGGCCCAGACUCCUACGGGAGGCAGCAGUGGGGAAUAUUGCGCAAUGGGCGAAAGCCUGACGCAGCAAUGCCGCGUGAGGGAUGACGGCCUUCGGGUUGUAAACCUCUUUCAGCAGGGAAGAAGCGAAAGUGACGGUACCUGCAGAAGAAGCACCGGCUAACUACGUGCCAGCCGCCGCAGUAACAC
rnacentral:rRNA from 1 species